AGGAUGAAAGACGGUUUCGGYUGUCACUUACAGAUGGACCCGCGGCGCAUUAGCUAGUUGGUGGGGUAAUGGCUCACCAAGGCGACGAUGCGUAGCCGACCUGAGAGGGUGAUCGGCCACACUGGGACUGAGACACGGCCCAGACUCUACGGGAGGCAGCAGUAGGGAAUCUUCCGCAAUGGACGAAAGUCUGACGGAGCAACGCCGCGUGAGUGAUGAAGGUUUUCGGAUCGUAAAGCUCUGUUGUUAGGGAAGAACAAGUGCGAGAGUAACUGCUCGCACCUUGACGGUACCUAACCAGAAAGCCACGGCUAACUACGUGCCAGCAGCCGCGGUAAUACGUAGGUGGCAAGCGUUGUCCGGAAUUAUUGGGCGUAAAGGGCUCGCAGGCGGUUUCUUAAGUCUGAUGUGAAAGCCCCCGGCUCAACCGGGGAGGGUCAUUGGAAACUGGGAAACUUGAGUGCAGAAGAGGAGAGUGGAAUUCCACGUGUAGCGGUGAAAUGCGUAGAGAUGUGGAGGAACACCAGUGGCGAAGGCGACUCUCUGGUCUGUAACUGACGCUGAGGAGCGAAAGCGUGGGGAGCGAACAGGAUUAGAUACCCUGGUAGUCCACGCCGUAAACGAUGAGUGCUAAGUGUUAGGGGGUUUCCGCCCCUUAGUGCUGUCACKAACGCAUUAAGCAG
rnacentral:rRNA from 1 species